AGUGUAGACUUUGCCCAGGUGCAUGUGGUGAGUGGGUCAUAUUCCCCCUUGACAUUUUGCUCAGUCAGAGGAAUUCCCAAACGAUGGGAUGGGGGCCCCAAUGAGAACCUUAAUAGAACAGCUCUUUCAGUUUAUACACGCAGGCACUUUCCCCAAGGCUCCCCAUAUAUAGGGUAACUGUUGACAAGUUCUGGCAUCCGCUGCAUACUGUGCCCAUCCCAGCGCUGCCCACUGACUAUGAAACCCUGGACCACCAUGGUGAAAUUCCACUUGGAAGAUCUGUUGUCUUGUUUUCACUUUGAUGUCUUGGCAUCACUUGGGGUACUGUCCUCAUAGGAAAACACCUGGAUUUGGAUUCAAAGACAAAGCUGUUUACAAAAUCAGUUGUGCAAUUA